UUUUUUCUGCAUACACCACUGUGAUUCUUGUCAAUAAGAUUUGUAUCUUGUGAUGCUUGCUAUAUUCUGUAUAUUAGCUUGGCGAGGAGGAUUUAGAGGCCGUGGUCGUGGACGAGGCAGAGAGUUUCUACCUGUUGAUCAAGACGUUAUAUCUCCUUCUAACAUAGAUGAUUCUUUCAAGUAUACACAGCAUGAUGACAGAGACUUGUCUCCCAAGCCAUUCAGAGGAAGAGGC
rnacentral:sRNA from 1 species